GCUAAGACUGGAUAGGAAGAUAAAAGGCAUCUUUUAUCUUUUAAAAGACCUAGUAAUAGGUAUGCUUUAGGAGGGGCUUGCGCCAUAUUAGUUAGUUGGUAGGGUAAUGGCCUACCAAGACGAUGAUGUGUAGCUGGACUGAGAGGUUGAACAGCCACAUUGGGACUGAGACACGGCCCAAACUCCUACGGGAGGCAGCAGUAGGGAAUUUUCGGCAAUGGAGGAAACUCUGACCGAGCAACGCCGCGUGAAUGACGAAGUACUUCGGUAUGUAAAGUUCUUUUAUCAAGGAAGAAAAGCAAAUGGCGAACCAUUUGUUUGCCGGUACUUGAUGAAUAAGCCCCGGCUAAUUAUGUGCCAGCAGCCGCGGUAAGACAUAAGGGGCAAGUGUUAUCCGGAAUUAUUGGGCGUAAAGGGUGCGUAGGCGGUCUAGUAAGUCAGUGGUGUAAUGGCAACGCUUAACGUUGUCCGGCUAUUGAAACUGCUAAACUUGAGUUAGAUAGAGGCGAGUGGAAUUCCAUGUGUAGCGGUAAAAUGCGUAAAUAUAUGGAGGAACACCAGAGGCGUAGGCGGCUCGCUGGGUCUUAACUGACGCUGAGGCACGAAAGCGUGGGGAGCAAACAGGAUUAGAUACCCUGGUAGUCCACGCCGUAAACGAUGAGUACUAAGUGUCGGGUUAAACCGGUACUGAAGUUAACACAUUAAGUACUCCGCCUGAGUAGUACGUACGCAAGUAUGAAACUUAAAGGAAUUGACGGGACUCCGCACAAGCGGUGGAUCAUGUUGUUUAAUUCGAAGAUACCCGAAAAACCUUACCAGGUCUUGACAUGUUUUUGCAAAAUGAUAGUAAUAUCGUGGAGGUUACCAGAAACACAGGUGGUGCAUGGUUGUCGUCAGCUCGUGUCGUGAGAUGUUAGGUUAAGUCCUAAAACGAGCGAAACCCUUAUCGUUAGUUGCCAGCACGUUAUGGUGGGGACUUUAACGAGACUGCCAAUGAUAAAUUGGAGGAAGGUGAGGAUCACGUCAAAUCAGCAUGCCCCUUAUGACCUGGGCUACAAACGUGAUACAAUGGCUGUUACAAAGGGUAGCUGAAACGCAAGUUCUUGGCCAAUCCCCAAAAACAGUCCCAGUCCGGAUUGAAGUCUGCAACUCGACUUCAUGAAGUUGGAAUCGCUAGUAAUCGCGAAUCAGCAUGUCGCGGUGAAUACGUUCUCGGGGUUUGUACACACCGCCCGUCAAACCACGAAAGUUGGCAAUACCCCAAAACGGUAGCCUAACU
rnacentral:rRNA from 1 species